CAACAUUUUUACAAGAUUCUACAACAAACAUCACUACCUAAACAUGGCUGCUUCAUCUGCACUCCGUCUUAUUUCCUCAAAGUCACAGCCUUUGAUACUGAGCUCUACAAAAUUAGCGAAUAUAAGCAAAGCAAUUCAGCUUCGCAGUAUCACAACACAAGACACAGGUGCUGUUCUUGCUAAACCGACGCAAGUUCGAUUUGGCAUAUUUAAGGUUUGCCUGACAGUUACUCCCUUUCUGUUGGGCGGUGCAACGAUCAGUCGUGAAUUCGCAGCAUGGUUGGAAGAACACGAGCUGUUUGUCCCAGACGAUGAUGAUGACUAAGCAGAGGAACUACACUUUCGAGAUCUCCCCAAAUUGUGAUAUAUCUACAAGAAGAACAGAUUGAGAGACUCAGCGGAGUUCUGCAGCAAGAUGCACUUUGAUAAUUUACAGAACAGACUGUUUUUCUUCUAUCCAUUCUCUUUCAACUUUCUCACCUCUCUUCCUAGCACUACUAACUAACACCGGUAUAUUUUAUACUUUUUCAAUGCCUUUUUUCCUUUCACUAUGUAUUUUCAUUUAUUUGUAAGUUAAGAUGUCCUUCUUGCACUUUCAUUUUCACUAGUUUCGCCAGUUGGAAGCAAUGGAAGGACGGAGCUUGACCAUUUAGUAAUUUUCAUUGUUGGUAGAUGUACGAGUAUAUUAUAGUAGGGUUUUUGUGCGUAGAUGGUGAAUUGUUUAUGUGAACUAAUUUGCAAGGGAUUGGGGUUUAGGUUAAACAUAAAACAUAAUAAUCUGUUUAUGUUGGUUGAUCAGUCCAGAUAUUAUUGUUGAGCAGCUGAUGUUAUAGUUGUGAAUUAGUCUCUUUGGAAAAUCCUUUUCUAGCUUUACAAACCUACUUGUGUGUAUACGUCAUUUGUUUAAAUUUUACUACCAUUUUUCAUUAUAAUGCCUUUAAGGAUUUUUAAAACCAGUUUUCUAAGGCAAUUCUGACUUUUUAUGUCUUUGCUGAUGUAGCACGACAUGACGUAUCAGGACUGACCAUAUGAUACUGAAAUACUGGAGUUAAUAAAUGUUUUAAUAACCCUAAA